rnacentral:lncRNA from 1 species
CUUGCGAGAGGCUUAGGAGCAAGACACCGGAAUGGACGAACACAACUGCUCGAACGCGCCACCGUUCUCGUGACCGUACACACAAACGAUUAGGUGUUGGUGUCCAGCAUGGGGGCAAACAUUUUCGCUCACUAUCUGGUCGUGGUGAGUAGGACUUCGGCAUUGGGUUGUGCGCCCAU